UCCAUUCAGUGCACUCACACUCACCCAAAUCUCAAAUUCUCAUAAUCUCAAGUCUCAGCCCUAACAAAUUAACAUCAGCUGAUUUUCCUCUCGACUGCUGUUGGUUUCACUCUCGACUCUCCACUCACCAACAGCACAAAUAUAUAACCAGCAUAGGAAAGCUAUGUUCCAUAAAAGGAAAAUGCACAGUGUGAAUGCAGAAAAACAAUGAAGGAUUUCAGCUGGUUUUAAAAAAUUGCCAUGCUCCUCUGUUGCUGCUACUCGUUGAGGGGAGUUGAUCUUCAGCCUUCUGGAGUGGAAGUAGGUAUUUAUAUCUAAUGGGAAACUCGUGCAUAAUUGAAUACAUGCUUUUAUAUAUGUAGAUAUGUGCAUAGUGUUAGUUUUUUGUUGCAUGCUCUAUUCCAGUGUAAUAUUUUCCAUCUUAGUUCAUAAAAAAUUUAUGUGUGUCUAGAUAUGAUGGGGGUUAUUCUUCAAUAAAGGCAAGUGGCCAUUUAAUCUGCUACUAGAUCUGAAUAAUUUGAUUGACAGUAAGGUUUUGAGAGACUACUACACAUUUGAUAUUGUUUUAACCAUAUGAAUGGCAAGAUAUUGGCUUGUACUUCUGUGCAAUGAAAAUAGAAAUGAAUUUGUAUUUGAAUUAU